rnacentral:misc_RNA from 1 species
CCAAUAGCGUAUAUUAAAGUUGCUGCAGUUAAAAAGCUCGUAGUUGAAUUUCGGGACCAAUCUGCCGGUCGUGCCUCCGGUACGCACUGGUUUUAUUGGUUUCUCCCUUCUGACGAACCAUGAUGUCAUUAAUUUGGUGUCAUGGGGAAUCAGGACUGUUACUUUGAAAAAAUUAGAGUGUUUAUAGCAGGCUCACGCUUGAAUACAUUAGCAUGGAAUAAUGAAAUAGGACGUUUGACCCUAUUUUGUUGGUUUCUAGGAUCGACGUAAUGAUUAAUAGGGAUAGUUGGGGGCAUUAGUAUUCAAUUGUCAGAGGUGAAAUUCUUGGAUUUACUGAAGACUAACUACUGCGAAAGCAUUUGCCAAGGAUGUUUUCAUUAAUCAAGAACGAAAGUUAGGGGAUCGAAGACGAUCAGAUACCGUCGUAGUCUUAACCAUAAACUAUGCUGACUAGGGAUCGGAUGAUGUUAAUUUUUUAAUGACUCAUUCGGCGCCUUACG